rnacentral:rRNA from 1 species
CGCAUGUGGUGUUGGGAAAAUGUUUAGUGCUAUACGAUGGGAUCGCGUCCUAUCAGCUUGUUGGUGGGGUAAUGGCCUACCAAGGCUUCGACGGGUAGCCGGCCUGAGAGGGCGACCGGCCACAUUGGGACUGAGAUACGGCCCAGACUCCUACGGGAGGCAGCAGUGGGGAAUAUUGCACAAUGGGGGGAACCCUGAUGCAGCGACGCCGCGUGCGGGAUGACGGCCUUCGGGUUGUAAACCGCUUUUAUUGGGGAGCAAGCGCAAGUGAGUGUACCUUUUGAAUAAGCACCGGCUAACUACGUGCCAGCAGCCGCGGUAAUACGUAGGGUGCAAGCGUUGUCCGGAAUUAUUGGGCGUAAAGAGCUCGUAGGCGGUUUGUCGCGUCUGGUGUGAAAGUCCAUCGCUUAACGGUGGAUCUGCGCUGGGUACGGGCAGGCUAGAGUGCAGUAGGGGAGACUGGAAUUCCCGGUGUAAC